rnacentral:tRNA from 1 species
GUCCCGAUAGCUCAGUGGAUAGAGCGAUUGCCUCCUAAGCAAUAGGUCAAGGGUUCAACUCCCUUUUGGGACGCCA